rnacentral:rRNA from 1 species
AGCAGUAGCCACGGUAAUACGUAGGUGGCAAGCGUUGUCCGGAAUUAUUGGGCGUAAAGCGCGCGCAGGCGGAUCAGUUAGUCUGUCUUAAAAGUUCGGGGCUUAACCCCGUGAUGGGAUGGAAACUGCUGAUCUAGAGUAUCGGAGAGGAAAGUGGAAUUCCUAGUGUAGCGGUGAAAUGCGUAGAUAUUCGCAAGAACACCAGUGGCGAAGGCGGCUAACUGGUCCGGUUCUGACGCUGAGGCACGAAAGCGUGGGGAGCAAACAGGAUUAGAUACCCGAGUAGUCCCUGUCUCUUAUACA